GGUAACGGCUCACCAAGGCGACGAUGCGUAGCCGACCUGAGAGGGUGAUCGGCCACACUGGGACUGAGACACGGCCCAGACUCCUACGGGAGGCAGCAGUAGGGAAUCUUCCGCAAUGGACGAAAGUCUGACGGAGCAACGCCGCGUGAGUGAUGAAGGUUUUCGGAUCGUAAAGCUCUGUUGUUAGGGAAGAACAAGUGCAAGAGUAACUGCUUGCACCUUGACGGUACCUAACCAGAAAGCCACGGCUAACUACGUGCCAGCAGCCGCGGUAAUACGUAGGUGGCAAGCGUUGUCCGGAAUUAUUGGGCGUAAAGGGCUCGCAGGCGGUUUCUUAAGUCUGAUGUGAAAGCCCCCGGCUCAACCGGGGAGGGUCAUUGGAAACUGGGAAACUUGAGUGCAGAAGAGGAGAGUGGAAUUCCACGUGUAGCGGUGAAAUGCGUAGAGAUGUGGAGGAACACCAGUGGCGAAGGCGACUCUCUGGUCUGUAACUGACGCUGAGGAGCGAAAGCGUGGGGAGCGAACAGGAUUAGAUACCCUGGUAGUCCACGCCGUAAACGAUGAGUGCUAAGUGUUAGGGGGUUUCCGCCCCUUAGUGCUGCAGCUAACGCAUUAAGCACUCCGCCUGGGGAGUACGGUCGCAAGACUGAAACUCAAAGGAAUUGACGGGGGCCCGCACAAGCGGUGGAGCAUGUGGUUUAAUUCGAAGCAACGCGAAGAACCUUACCAGGUCUUGACAUCCUCUGACAACCCUAGAGAUAGGGCUUUCCCUUCGGGGACAGAGUGACAGGUGGUGCAUGGUUGUCGUCAGCUCGUGUCGUGAGAUGUUGGGUUAAGUCCCGCAACGAGCGCAACCCUUGAUCUUAGUUGCCAGCAUUCAGUUGGGCACUCUAAGGUGACUGCCGGUGACAAACCGGAGGAAGGUGGGGAUGACGUCAAAUCAUCAUGCCCCUUAUGACCUGGGCUACACACGUGCUACAAUGGACAGAACAAAGGGCUGCGAGACCGCAAGGUUUAGCCAAUCCCACAAAUCUGUUCUCAGUUCGGAUCGCAGUCUGCACUCGACUGCGUGAAGCUGGAAUCGCUAGUAAUCGCGGAUCAGCAUGCCGCGGUGAAUACGUUCCAGGCUGUGUACACAUCGCCCAU
rnacentral:rRNA from 1 species